AUUGAMCSCUGSCGSCAGSCUUAMCMCAUSCAAGYCGAMCGGUASCAGGGAAGUSCUYGCACUUUUGCUGACGAGUGGCGGACGGGUGAGUAAUGCUUGGGAAUCUGGCUUAUGGAGGGGGAUAACUGUGGGAAACUGCAGCUAAUACCGCGUAUAAUCGGGAGAUGAAAGACUGGGAGCGAAAGUCCAGUUGCCAUAAGAUGAGCCCAAGUGGGAUUAGGUAGUUGGUGGGGUAAAGGCCUACCAAGCCGUCGAUCUCUAGCUGGUCUGAGAGGAUGGCCAGCCACACUGGGACUGAGACACGGCCCAGACUCCUACGGGAGGCAGCAGUGGGGAAUAUUGCGCAAUGGGGGGAACCCUGACGCAGCCAUGCCGCGUGAAUGAAGAAGGCCUUCGGGUUGUAAAGUUCUUUCGGUGGUGAGGAAGGSGAUUAGKUUAAUAGGCUAAUUGAUUGRCGKUAACCACAGRAGRAGSACCGGCUAACUCC
rnacentral:rRNA from 1 species